rnacentral:rRNA from 1 species
UACGUAGGAUCCAAGCGUUGUCCGGAUUUAUUGGGCGUAAAGAGCGUGUAGGCGGCCUGAAAGGUCAGCUGUGAAAACUCGAGGCUCAACCUCGAGACGCCGGUGGAAACCAUCAGACUAGAGUCUGGAAGAGGAGAGUGGAAUUCCUGGUGUAGCGGUGAAAUGCGCAGAUAUCGGGAAGAACACCCGUGGCUAAGGCGGCUCUCUAGUACGGUACUGACGCUGAGACGCGAAAGCGUGGGGAGCGAACAGG